rnacentral:rRNA from 1 species
GACGAACGCUGGCGGCGUGCUUAACACAUGCAAGUCGAACGGAAAGGCCCUGCUUUUGUGGGGUGCUCGAGUGGCGAACGGGUGAGUAACACGUGAGUAACCUGCCCUUGACUUUGGGAUAACUUCAGGAAACUGGGGCUAAUACCGGAUAGGAGCUCCUGCUGCAUGGUGGGGGUUGGAAAGUUUCGGCGGUUGGGGAUGGACUCGCGGCUUAUCAGCUUGUUGGUGGGGUAGUGGCUUACCAAGGCUUUGACGGGUAGCCGGCCUGAGAGGGUGACCGGGCAACUUUGGGAGUGAGACAGGGCCGGAUCCCCUAGGGGGGGAAGAGGGGGGGAAUAUGGAAAAAGGGGGGGAGGCCGGAUGCAGCACCGCCGGGGGGGGGAGGACGCCUUUCGGUUUUAAACCCGCUUCCGCCUGUGAAGAAGGGGGAGGGAGGGUAAGGGGUAAAGAAGCACCGGCAAACUACGUC